rnacentral:rRNA from 1 species
GAUGAACGCUGGCGGCGUGCCUAACACAUGCAAGUCGAGCGAACCCUUCGGGGUGAGCGGCGGACGGGUGAGUAACGCGUGGGUAACCUGCCCUAUACACACGGAUAACGUACCGAAAGGUACGCUCAUACGGGAUAAAGUUGUUGGAUGGCAUCUUCUAACAACCAAAGCUCCGGCGGUAUAGGAUGGACCCGCGUCUGAUUAGCUAGUUGGUGAGGUAAUGGCUCACCAAGGCGACGAUCAGUAGCCGACCUGAGAGGGUGAUCGGCCACACUGGAACUGAGACACGGUCCAGACUCCUACGGGAGGCAGCAGUGGGGAAUAUUGCACAAUGGGCGAAAGCCUGAUGCAGCAACGCCGCGUGAGCGAUGAAGGUCUUCGGAUCGUAAAGCUCUGUCCUCAAGGAAGAUAAUGACGGUACUUGAGGAGGAAGCCCCGGCUAACUACGUGCCAGCCGCCGCGGUAA